rnacentral:rRNA from 1 species
AUUGAACGCUGGCGGCAGGCCUAACACAUGCAAGUCGAGCGGAGCGGCGGACGGGUGAGUAAUGCCUCGGAAUCUGCCUGGUAGUGGGGGAGAACGUCCGGAAACGGGCGCUAAUACCGCAUACUCACAGACUAGCCUAGGUCGGUUUAGCUAGUUUGUGGGGUAAAGGCCUACCAAGGCGACGAUCAGUAACUGGUCUGAGAGGAUGAUCAGGCACACUGGAACUGAGAAACGGUCCAGCCUCCUACGGGAGGCAGCAGUGGGGAAGAUUGGACAAUGGGCGAAAGCCUGAUCCAGCCAUGCCGCGUGUGUGAAGAAGGUCUUCGGAUUGUAAAGCACUUUAAGUUGGGAGGCGUUACCAACAGAAUAAGCACCGGCUAACUUCGUGCCAGCAGCCGCGGUAAUAC